rnacentral:tRNA from 1 species
GGGCCGUUAGCUCAGUGGUCAGAGCAGGGGACUCAUAAUCCUUUGGUCGCUGGUUCGAUCCCAGCACGGCCUA